UACAUUUUUUAGUAAUCUUUAUAUUGUGUCAUGUGUUGUUGCAGAUUUAGUCUUUAAAUUUUUUGAACGGUUUACUAAAUGAGGACUGAAAUCCCCACGAAGAACAUUUAAUUGCUGUCAGUUUAUUUUCUGUAUUUAUUUAUUAUAAUUUAACAACUCAAAUAAUGUGUAGUUUUAUGUGUUUUGUGUAAGGUUUUUCAUGCUGCUGAUGAGUUUAAAAAUGUUGCCUGCUUGUUUUAUUUCCAGUCUAGUUUGAUAUAUUUCAGCCCAUUCUGUACGAUGAUUCUCUCUGUGCUGAUAUGCAUGAGAGGCUUCUUAAAGGGAAGUGAAACAAUGUGUGAGUGAGUGACUAGUAGAGCAGAAAAAACAUCUGACAGAAACUUCUUUAAGGAGAAGAGCAACUCUCACACAGGAAAGGUGUCCAAGUGUCUGCUGGUUGAUUGACAGCUGUGUGUUCCCGCUGUCCUCUAAUCUGAUUGGUGUCUCCUAGGUGAUGCCCGUCCCACCCUGAUGGUGCUGCCCCCCUCCACUGAGCAGUUGCAGCAAGGGCAGGCCACGCUCAUGUGCCUGGCCAACAAGGGCUUCCCCUCAGACUGGAGUCUGGCCUGGAAGGUGGACGGCAGCAGCAGCAGCAGCAGCAGCUGGGAGCAGAGCAGCAGCCCCGGGGUGCUGGAGAAGGACGGCCACUACAGCUGGAGCAGCACCCUGAGGCUCUCUGCAGACCAGUGGAGGAAAGUGGGCUCUGUGACCUGUGAGGCCACCCAGGGCUCCCAGACUCCGCUCUCAGAGACCCUGAGGAGAGACCAGUGUCCCCAGUCCUGAUCUGACUCACUGGUUUUACUCUGCUACUGCUCUCAGUCUGCACUCUUUCUCUGUUUUUCUCAUGAUUUUUCAACAUUAACUUGUUCUUGCUUGUGCUGACAGUUUUAACAUUUUCAAACAAUAAAGAAUCCCAUUGUGUAUUAUA